GACGAACGCUGGCGGCGUGCCUAAUACAUGCAAGUCGAACGAACCGCGACUGAGUGCUUGCACUUGGUCAAGGUGAGUGGCGAACGGGUGAGUAACACGUGGGUAACCUACCUCAUAGUGGGGGAUAACAGUCGGAAACGACUGCUAAUACCGCAUAGGACAUGGAAUCACAUGAUUCUGUGAGGAAAGGUGGCGCAAGCUAUCGCUAAGAGAUGGACCCGCGGUGCAUUAGCUAGUUGGUAGGGUAAGGGCCUACCAAGGCGAUGAUGCAUAGCCGACCUGAGAGGGUGAUCGGCCACAUUGGGACUGAGACACGGCCCAAACUCCUACGGGAGGCAGCAGUAGGGAAUCUUCCGCAAUGGACGCAGGUCUGACGGAGCAACGCCGCGUGAGUGAAGAAGGUCUUCGGAUCGUAAAGCUCUGUUGUUAGAGAAGAACAGCGCAUAGAGUAACUGUUAUGCGUGUGACGGUAUCUAACCAGAAAGCCACGGCUAACUACGUG
rnacentral:rRNA from 1 species